ACCAAUAUAGCAUAUUCAACACAUAUUACCAAUAGUCAUGAACACAUAUGUAUCCAACACAUGUUACCAAUAGUAGCAAGUUUCAUCCGUACAUAUACAUAGUUUCAUCAAUAUUACACAGUUUCAUCCAUAGGUAGCAAGUUUCACAAGGUCAAAACAAAAACUAAAUACAAGCACUCCAUCAACCCAAGCUUCUGUGAUCUUAACCAAAUCUGUAAAAUGGGAAAGAAGAAAGUUAGAAGAAGAAGACUAGAAGAAGAAGAUUAUUAUGAUGCAACUAAAAUGUGAAGAUUAUUAUGAUGCAACUUAUAUCUGUAAAAUAGGUCUUUUUGGAGCUAAGUAUGGUUAUUAUGUCAUUUUUGAGCUAGCUAAGCAUACUAAGUCAUUUUGUUGUAAAACAUGCUAAGGUCAUUCUAGAGCUAAGUAAGCUUAUUAUGUCAUUUCGGAGCUAGCUAAGCAUGUGAAGUCAUUUAGGAGCUCAAAUAUGUCAUUUCUUAAGCAUAUUAUGUCAUUUUAGAGUUGGCUAAGCAUAUUAAGUCAUUUUGGAGGAAAAGAUGCUAAGUAUAGGUCAUUUUAGAGCUAAUCUAGGUUAAAUAGGUCAUUUUUAAGCUAGCUAAGAAUAUUAAGUCAUUUUGGAGGAAAAAAUGCUAAGUAUAGGUCAUUUUAGAGCUAUCCUAGGUUAAAUAGGUCAUUUUGGAGCUAAUUAAGCUUAUUACGUCAUUUUUGAGCUAGCUAAGCAUAUUGAGUCAUUUUGGAGGAAAAAAUGCUAAGUAUAGGUCAUUUUAGAGCUAUCCUAGGUUAAAUAGGUCAUUUUGGAGCUAAGUAAGGUUAUUGUGUCAUUUUUGAGCUAGCUAAGCAUAUGAAGUCAUUUAGGAGCUAAAAUAUGUCAUUUCUUAAGCAUAUUAUGUCAUUUUAGAGCUAGUUAAGCAUAUUAAGUCAUUUUGGAGGAAAAGAUGCUAAGUAUAGGUCAUUUUAGAGCUAUCCUAGGUUAAAUAGGUCAUUUUUAAGCUAGCUAAGCAUAUUAAGUCAUUUUGGAGGAAAAAAUGCUAAGUAUAGGUCAUUUUAGAGCUAUCCUAGGCAUGGAUUUUGAGUCGCUUGACUAGUCGCGACUAGUCGACGACUAGUCUAUGAGUCGCAAAAAUAUGGUCGACUUAGCUUAGUGUCGACUCGCGACCCUAAGUCAUGACUAGUCACAACGCAGCCUCAACUUCUUCCGAGCCACUGCCCCAGAGCGACUCGCAUGAGUCGCGACUCAAAAACCAUGAUCCUAGGUUAAUUAGGUCAUUUUGGAGCUAAUUAAGCUUAUUAUGUAAUUUUUGAGCUAGCUAAGCAUAUUAAGUCAUUUUGGAGAAAAAAAUGCUAAGUAUAGGUCAUUUUAGAGCUGGACUAGGUUGAAUAGGUCAUUUUGGAGCUAAGUAAGGUUACUAUGUCAUUUUGGACCUAGCUAAGCAUAUGAAGUCAUUUAGGACCUAAAAUAUGUCAUUUCUUAAGCAUAUUAUGUCAUUUCAGAGCUAGCUAAGCAUAUUAAGUCAUUUUGGAGGAAAAUAUGCUAAGUAUAGGUCAUUUUAGAGCUAUCCUAGGUUAAAUAUGUCAUUUUUAAGCUAGCUAAGCAUAUUAAGUCAUUUUGGAGGAAAAAUGCUAAGUAUAGGUCAUUUUAGAGCUAUCCUAGGUUAAAUAUGUCAUUUUGGAGCUAAUUAAGCUUAUUAUGUCAUUUUUGAGCUAGCUAAGCAUAUUGAGUCAUUUUGGAGGAAAAAAUGCUAAGUAUAUAAUUAUGUCGCUAGUAUCCAUAUGGCAGAGAACCCGGGCCGACAUGACUAGUCAUAGAACCAAGGUGGCACAAACGUACAGGGACAGGCAUACAUGACCCAGCAAUGCACGUGUCGGUCAUCAGCAAGUGCAACCAAGUCGUAGCAAGCUACAAGGACUUCGUUGAUACACCGCGUGACAUUUCCCGUAGGGACAGACACAGGAGCAAAGAAGGACACAUGUCGGUCAAUCCAUGUGUUCCGGAGCAGUAGCGAACUACCAUGGCUCAGUGGAAGCACUAGGAGGCAUUUCCCUGUAUGGAAUGCUACCAAAGGCACACGACUAGGUGUCGAAUCCCACACAUAUAAUGCAUUUCAAACAUACACACAUUAUGCACGAUAUGUGUAGAUACAACAUGGCAUCACAAUAAAACUCUAUUAAGCAAAACACUUGGAAAACUUACCUUCAUCACGGAGGUGUAGGUGUAGGACCGGUCGCGCCAGUGGUAGACGGAGAAGGAUCGGUCAAUGCUUGUCGGGAGUUACGUUGCACUAAAGAUUAUUUCCAAUGUAUCGUUAGCAUGAUGCAACUCAAAUGUGAAGACUAGUAACUAAUGACCGUUCAAAUGAAACUCACCGUGCCCGCCGGAGAAAUGACUGGCAUCGGCGGAGGGGUCUGGCCGUUCUUUUCGCACAUGGACUGCACAUUUGGUUUUGACGAGUCAGUCAUAUUAGUUACUAAUGAAAGGAACAUUGCGUGCAUGAUUUAGCUAAUAUGCAGAAGAAACUUACCACGAAGAGAUUGUACAUGGCCCGGUUAGCCGAGUCGUUCCGGUUCCUCUCCUCCUCCAACAGCCUAGCCAUCCUCUCCUCAUUCUCCCGAUUACCAUGAAGAGAUCGUACAUAACCAAGCACUCUCUUAAAAAAGCCAUACUGAAGUCAAGUAUUCAAACUUCCGAAGUUAGCUGUCGUUCAGUUAAACAUAAAACCCAAACAUUCCAACUUCCCAGUUUAGCUACCGUUCAGUUUCAGGAAAGAAAAGAGUUACUUACCCACAAAAAGAAAAAGGAGAAAGGAGUCAGCUAGCUUUCUUGCAGACUAUACGUACAUGUGAAACAUAGAAUUAGGUCACGCAAGUUAUACAACAGGCCAAACAUAUCUUUAGAAAACAAAAUAAAGUAAAAUAAAGUAACAGCCAACAGAUAAUCUUGAGCAGAUGCAGCAGAGUGAGCUACAAUAUGAAAAAACCACUGCAACUAUGUAAGCCACAACACCCAUACAAAUACAUGAAAACAUCGCCACACUUCGCCAACAGCAAACCGCCUGAUGCCUAUGUAUUAUAUAUAGGAGUGGAAUGAAGUAAUCCAGAUUUAAAAUAAAUAUAGGAGUUCGGGAGAGAUAAAGUUGAGUUGUUAUAAAUACUGCAAAUGGGGUUGUGUGUAUGUGUAGGUUCGCGUCAAGGCACACAACCAUGAGAUGAACUAUGUUGGUAUUUUUGUAUUUGCGCAGUCUAGCCUUACAAGCCACACUGAAUAACAAUGAACAGAGUAAGAUUACUGGAAAUGUACUGAAUGCAUAAAUUGCAAAAUAUGUGCAGAUCUGUCUAAGGCUUGGGAAAUGUUUGUUGUUUUGGUUAUUGGAGCUGCAGAACAGUAGGAGAAUUAACCACUUAAUUACUACUAGAGUUUUGUUCAUCUAAAAAAAUAAAAUAGUGCGAGUUUUUUGCCAGGAGCUUCAGGGCACAAAUAAGUUAUGGGGCAAGACAAUUGUAUGAGUAGUACUGUUUUGCAUUGUAUUUGUAGGGAGGCAGCGCUGCUGUUUAGCAUGGCAUCUGCAGUCUGAAGAAAGAUGGGAUCAACCAGAGUAAGGUGAAUGAAUCCACAGUCCAAACCAAGAGAAAGCUACCAUUCGUACACUAUUCCAUUUCAUUAGGUAAGGUAAAGGAGCCAAGUACAUUGCUGACCUGGCCAAAUUCAGACACAUAGUUUAGACAGAAUUGACAGAUUUUUCUAGACAAAUUCAAACAUGUAGACUAGACAGAUUGUGUCAUAUGUAAUAACUCGGCACCACCAAAAACCUUGGCAGAUUUGAUUUGAUUUGUUACCCGUACUACAACAAAAUGAGGGAGUGCUAAAUGAUAGUGACACUAGGUUCAUGUCAUAUUAUAUUAUCAAGUAGAUGUUCACAGGAGCAAGAACAACAAUCUUAGUUUUCAUGAAGUGGGGCAAAAUGUCACAAGAGAUUGGAUUGAACUGAUGUAUCUUCCAUGAAAGGUUCAGUCCAAGAAAGCUUACCUUAGAUACCUCGAGGCAACUCUGCCAUUUCACUCCGAAGGAACAGCUCGGCGCAGAAUUCAGUUCUCACAACCAACGGCAUCAACAAGCAUUUAGCAAACAUCAAUCAAACCAUCAGAACACGUCCAACAUCCAAGCAUCAACAUGUCUUUCUUCA
rnacentral:lncRNA from 1 species